ACAACCUUAACGAUGGAUGUCUUGGUUCCUACAGCGAUGAAGGCCGUAGCAAAAUACGAUAGGCAAUGAAGCUUGCUUACUUUUGUAUCUCUGCAAAUCAUCAUCAGAAUGCUGAAUGUAAACUACACUCUCAAGAGAAGAGGCUUUCUUACCCCAAAAAGGGGCCUCUAAAAUUGGUAGUACUUCU